GGUGAGAUGGCCGAGCGGUCUAUGGCGCUAGCUUCAGGUGCUAGUAUCGAAAGAUGCGUGGGUUCGAAUCCCACUCUCAUCA